rnacentral:rRNA from 1 species
UUCUGGUUGAUCCCGCCGGACCUGACUGCUAUCGGAUUGAUACUAAGCCAUGCGAGUCGUUGUAGCAAUACAAGGCAUACGGCUCAGUAACGCGUAGUCAACCUAACCUAUGGACGGGAAUAACCUCGGGAAACUGAGAAUAAUGCCCGAUAGAACAUUAUGCCUGGAAUGGUUUAUGUUCCAAAUGAUUUAUCGCCAUAGGAUGGGACUGCGGCCUAUCAGUUUGUUGGUGAGGUAAUGGCCCACCAAGACUAUUACAGGUACGGGCUCUGAGAGGAGUAGCCCGGAGAUGGGUACUGAGACACGGACCCAGGCCCUAUGGGGCGCAGCAGGCGAGAAAACUUUGCAAUGUGCGAAAGCACGACAAGGUUAAUCCGAGUGAUUUCUGCUAAAGAGAUCUUUUGUUAGUCCUAGAAACACUAACGAAUAAGGGGUGGGCAAGUUCUGGUGUCAGCCGCCGCGGUAAAACCAGCACCUCAAGUGGUCAGGAUGAUUAUUGGGCCUAAAGCAUCCGUAGCCGGCUCUGUAAGUUUUCGGUUAAAUCUGUACGCUCAACGUACAGGCUGCCGGAAAUACUGCAGAACUAGGGAGUGGGAGAGGUAGACGGUACUCGGUAGGAAGUGGUAAAAUGCUUUGAUCUAUCGAUGACCACCUGUGGCGAAGGCGGUCUACCAGAACACGUCCGACGGUGAGGGAUGAAAGCUAGGGGAGCAAACCGGAUUAGAUACCCGGGUAGUCCCAGCUGUAAACUAUGCAAACUCAGUGAUGCAUUGGCUUGUGGCCAAUGCAGUGCUGCAGGGAAGCCGUUAAGUUUGCCGCCUGGGAAGUACGUACGCAAGUAUGAAACUUAAAG